UAGGGGGAGGUUGGCUGCAUCACUGGUACUGAUGUAAUGGCUGUUCACAGUACCAGAAAUGCCGCUCCCUUCCCCCUACA
ncrna:Eptesicus fuscus (big brown bat) microRNA efu-mir-9186g precursor (efu-mir-9186g-1)